rnacentral:rRNA from 1 species
GAUGAACGCUAGCGGCAGGCCUAACACAUGCAAGUCGAGGGGUAGGGUUAGCUUGCUAACUUGAGACCGGCGCACGGGUGCGUAACGCGUAUGCAAUCUACCUUGUACAGAGGGAUAGCCCAGAGAAAUUUGGAUUAAUACCUCAUAGUAUCUUUACCUGGCAUCGGGUAAUUAUUAAAGUUCCAACGGUACAAGAUGAGCAUGCGUCCCAUUAGUUAGUUGGUAAGGUAACGGCUUACCAAGACAAUGAUGGGUAGGGGUCCUGAGAGGGAGAUCCCCCACACUGGUACUGAGACACGGACCAGACUCCUACGGAGGGCAGCAGUGAGGAA